CGGGACGGGUGAGUAAUGCUUGGGAAUCUAGCUUAUGGAGGGGGAUAACUACGGGAAACUGUAGCUAAUACCGCGUAAUAUCGAAAGAUUAAAGUGUGGGACCUCGGGCCACAUGCCAUAGGAUGAGCCCAAGUGGGAUUAGGUAGUUGGUGAGGUAAAGGCUCACCAAGCCGACGAUCUCUAGCUGGUCUGAGAGGAUGACCAGCCACACUGGGACUGAGACACGGCCCAG
rnacentral:rRNA from 1 species